UCUAUUCAGGGAGAGAACGAUUUUGUUCAAAACUGAGUUGGAAAUUACGGGUGGGGAAGGCAGCUAAAAAGAGAGCAGAAAGAACGGGAUAUUUAUAUGGGCCCAAGGCCCUUGAGAACGAAAGGAUUUGAAGAUGCUCAGAAAGGGAUGUGGCAAAGCCACUGCCCUCUGCAGUGACGGCUUCCAGAUCGCCCUUACACGUGCAGGACGCAAGGCCAUUUCCGCGGUGGCCUAUUUCCCCGGGAUGGCCGCGUGCAGUUGAGCCUGGGAGCCCUGCACCAAGGCCCGCUGUUGAGCUGCACAUAGCUGUGCGGCCACGCUUGGUGAGCGUGGGGCUCGCUCCUUCAACCAAACCUGGAAGGUGAGAGGCGGGACACAUCCAUGUCUAAACGCUCCUGGUUACCCUCAUAGAAUUUUUUGAUUUUUUUUGUGUAUGUGUGUGGUUUGACGUUUGGUUUUGGGAACGGGGAGCUCUGACUUUUCUGGAGAAAUCGGAAGAGCACACUUCUGA